rnacentral:ncRNA from 1 species
GGUUCUCAGGGCGGAGUGAAAGUCUCCACCGGUGGUGAUUACAUAUUCUGUAUAAGUCCACGAGCAUUUAAUAAUGUUGAUUUGGUGUAAAUCCAAAACCGACGGUGAUAGUCCGGAUGGAAGAGAAUU